rnacentral:rRNA from 1 species
GUUGUAGUCUGGAGAAGUGCUUUCCGUGCCGGACCGUGUAUAAGUCUCUUGGAAUAGAGCGUCAUAGAGGGUGAGAAUCCCGUCUUUGACACGGACUACCGGUGCUUUGUGAUGCGCUCUCAAAGAGUCGAGUUGUUUGGGAAUGCAGCUCAAAAUGGGUGGUAAAUUCCAUCUAAAGCUAAAUAUUGGCGAGAGACCGAUAGCGAACAAGUACCGUGAGGGAAAGAUGAAAAGCACUUUGGAAAGAGAGUUAAACAGUACGUGAAAUUGCUGAAAGGGAAACGCUUGAAGUCAGUCGCGUUGUGCAGAACUCAACCUAGCUUUUGCUUGGUGCACUUUCUGUAUGACGGGCCAGCAUCGAUUUUGACUGUCGGAAAAGGGCUGAAGGAAUGUGGCACCUCCGGGUGUGUUAUAGCCUUUAGUCGCAUACGGCAGUUGGGAUCGAGGAACUCAGCGUGCCGCAAGGUGGGGCUUCGGCCUACAUUCACGCUUAGGAUGCUGGCAUAAUGGCUUUAAACGACCCGUCUUGAAACACGGACCAAGGAGUCUAACAUGCCUGCGAGUGUUUGGGUGGAAAACCCGAGCGCGUAAUGAAAGUGAAAGUUGAGACCUCUGUCGUGGAGGGCAUCGACGCCCGGACCUGAAGUUUUCUGACGGAUCCGCGGUAGAGCAUGUAUGUUGGGACCCGAAAGAUGGUGAACUAUGCCUGAAUAGGGUGAAGCCAGAGGAAACUCUGGUG